AGAUUGAACGCUGGCGGCAUGCCUAACACAUGCAAGUCGAACGGGAGUAGCAAUACUCUAGUGGCGGACGGGUGAGGAAUACGUAGGAAUUUGCCCUUAAGUGGGGGAUAACCCGGGGAACCCGGAUUAAUACCGCAUGACCUCGAAAGAGCAAAGUGGGGGAUCGCAAGACCUCACGCUUUUGGAGAAGCCUACGUCGGAUUAGCUAGUUGGUGA
rnacentral:rRNA from 1 species